rnacentral:rRNA from 1 species
GACAGCAGUCGCCACGGGAAUACGGAGGGUGCAAGCGUUAAUCGGAAUUACUGGGCGUAAAGCGCACGCAGGCGGUCUGACAAGUCAGAUGUGAAAUCCCCGGGCUUAACCUGGGAACUGCAUUUGAAACUGUCAGGCUGGAGUCUUGUAGAGGGGGGUGGAAUUCCAGGUGUAGCGGUGAAAUGCGUAGAGAUCUGGAGGAAUACCGGUGGCGAAGGCGGCCCCCUGGACAAAGACUGACGCUCAGGUGCGAAAGCGUGGGGAGCAAACAGGAUUAGAUACCCGGGUAGUCCCUGUCUCUUAUAU